AACGCACAUUGCGCCCGCCAGUACUCUGGCGGGCAUGCCUGUCCGAGCGUCAUUUCAACCCUCGAGCCCAUCUGGGAUCGGUGUUGGGGAUCGGCGCCGCCCCCGGGUGGCCGCCGUCCCUCAAAUCUAGUGGCGGUCUUCGCUGCAGCCUCCUCUGCGUAGUAGAAACACCUCGCACCGGAGCGCAGCCUAGCCUCGCCGUAAAACAACCAACUUCAUUAUCAAGGUUGACCUCGGAUCAGGUAGGAAUACCCGCUGAACUUAA
rnacentral:misc_RNA from 1 species